GGGCCCAAACACUUAUUAAAAUCGGCCCAAGUCUCGGCCCAAACAAUUAAUAAAAUCGGCCCAAACAAUUUAAUUAAAUUGGCCCAAGAGUUUAAUUAAAUCGGCCCAAGAAUUUAAUUAAAUCGGCCCAAACAAUUAAAAAAAAUCGGCCCAUACCCGGCCCAAAUCCUAACCUAAAUAUACACACACACUAAAUACACUCAAACACACACAUAACACAAGCUGCGCCCCAUCUCUCCUUUCUCACUCUCUCUCUCGCCUUUCCCUCUCUGUUCGGCUGAGGGCGGCGCCGCCUCCGGCGCGCCGCCUCGCCGUCGCCUCCUCCCCUCCUCUCCUUCGGCCACCGCGACCAGCCACCAGGUGUCGCCACCCUCGACUCCCUCGCUCCCUCGGCCGCUGGAACCAGGCGCAGCAGCGCGACCACGCCGCCGCUGUCAUCUCCUCCGCCUCUCCUCCACGGCAGAUCCGCCGCCGCCGUUCAACGCCACGGCCACCCCUUGUUCUCCCUCUCUCUCUGUCCCUAACUCUCAACUUCAUCUCGAUCUCUCUCUCUAACCUCACUGCCACACACGCCGGCAGACACGGCGUAAGCCGCGCCGCCGCGUCGCCCUCCCUCUCGCUGGCUGCACAGGCCCACGGCCGUGGAGGAGCCGCCGUCGCCGGAGACAGCCCAGAUCGGAACCACGGCAGGUUCACCGCCGCCGCUCCGUCGCCGGCGACGAGCCACCGCGGCUGCCGCCUCCCUCUGAUCUCGACUCACACACACACAGUAGAGUCAGCCCCCCCCUUCAAAGGUUUCAAGCCUCAAAUUCAGUCGAACACUUAGUACAUAGGAUUUGAGCAAAAAUCAAAUACUGUAAUUGCUUAAUGAAAUCUGAAAUUCUUUUCUUGAAACUGAACUAGUCUGUAAAUUUCAGUUCAUAUGUGCAUAUGUAAACAUGUUGUGAAAUA